GAUGAACGCUGGCGGCGUGCCUAAUACAUGCCAGUCGAGCGAACAGACGAGGAGCUUGCUCCUCUGACGUUAGCGGCGGACGGGUGAGUAACACGUGGAUAACCUACCUAUAAGACUGGGAUAACUUCGGGAAACCGGAGCUAAUACCGGAUAAUAUAUUGAACCGCAUGGUUCAAUAGUGAAAGACGGUUUUGCUGUCACUUAUAGAUGGAUCCGCGCCGCAUUAGCUAGUUGGUAAGGUAACGGCUUACCAAGGCGACGACGCGUAGCCGACCUGAGAGGGUGAUCGGCCACACUGGAACUGAGACACGGUCCAGACUCCUACGGGAGGCAGCAGUAGGGAAUCUUCCGCAAUGGGCGAAAGCCUGACGGAGCAACGCCGCGUGAGUGAUGAAGGUCUUCGGAUCGUAAAACUCUGUUAUUAGGGAAGAACAAAUGUGUAAGUAACUAUGCACGUCUUGACGGUACCUAAUCAGAAAGCCACGGCUAACUACGUG
rnacentral:rRNA from 1 species